rnacentral:rRNA from 1 species
GAUGAACGCUGGCGGCGUGCUUAACACAUGCAAGUCGAACGGUGAAGCCCAGCUUGCUGGGUGGAUCAGUGGCGAACGGGUGAGUAACACGUGAGCAAUCUGCCCCUGACUCUGGGAUAAGCGCUGGAAACGGCGUCUAAUACUGGAUAUGAACCGUGGAGGCAUCUUCAACGGUUGGAAAGAUUUUUUGGUCAGGGAUGAGCUCGCGGCCUAUCAGCUUGUUGGUGAGGUAAUGGCUCACCAAGGCGUCGACGGGUAGCCGGCCUGAGAGGGUGACCGGCCACACUGGGACUGAGACACGGCCCAGACUCCUACGGGAGGCAGCAGUGGGGAAUAUUGCACAAUGGGCGCAAGCCUGAUGCAGCAACGCCGCGUGAGGGAUGACGGCCUUCGGGUUGUAAACCUCUUUUAGCAGGGAAGAAGCGAAAGUGACGGUACCUGCAGAAAAAGCGCCGGCUAACUACGUGCCAGCAGCCGCGGUAAUACGUAGGGCGCAAGCGUUAUCCGGAAUUAUUGGGCGUAAAGAGCUCGUAGGCGGUCUGUCGCGUCUGCUGUGAAAUCCCGAGGCUCAACCUCGGGUCUGCAGUGGGUACGGGCAGACUAGAGUGCGGUAGGGGAGAUUGGAAUUCCUGGUGUAGCGGUGGAAUGCGCAGAUAUCAGGAGGAACACCGAUGGCGAAGGCAGAUCUCUGGGCCGUAACUGACGCUGAGGAGCGAAAGGGUGGGGAGCAAACAGGCUUAGAUACCCUGGUAGUCCACCCCGUAAACGUUGGGAACUAGUUGUGGGGUCCAUUCCACGGAUUCCGUGACGCAGCUAACGCAUUAAGUUCCCCGCCUGGGGAGUACGGCCGCAAGGCUAAAACUCAAAGGAAUUGACGGGGACCCGCACAAGCGGCGGAGCAUGCGGAUUAAUUCGAUGCAACGCGAAGAACCUUACCAAGGCUUGACAUAUACGAGAACGCUGCAGAAAUGUAGAACUCUUUGGACACUCGUAAACAGGUGGUGCAUGGUUGUCGUCAGCUCGUGUCGUGAGAUGUUGGGUUAAGUCCCGCAACGAGCGCAACCCUCGUUCUAUGUUGCCAGCACGUAAUGGUGGGAACUCAUGGGAUACUGCCGGGGUCAACUCGGAGGAAGGUGGGGAUGACGUCAAAUCAUCAUGCCCCUUAUGUCUUGGGCUUCACGCAUGCUACAAUGGCCGGUACAAAGGGCUGCAAUACCGUAAGGUGGAGCGAAUCCCAAAAAGCCGGUCCCAGUUCGGAUUGAGGUCUGCAACUCGACCUCAUGAAGUCGGAGUCGCUAGUAAUCGCAGAUCAGCAACGCUGCG